AGGGUUUGAUCCUGGCUCAGAAUCAACGCUGGCGGCGUGCCUAACACAUGCAAGUCGAACGAGAAAGGGUAGCAAUACCUGAGUAAAGUGGCGCACGGGUGAGUAACACGUGACUAACCUACCCUGGAGUGGGGAAUAACUGAGGGAAACCUUAGCUAAUACCGCAUAAUACCUACGGGUCAAAGGAGCAAUUCGCUUCAGGAGGGGGUCGCGGCCGAUUAGCUAGUUGGCGGGGUAAUGGCCCACCAAGGCAAUGAUCGGUAUCCGGCCUGAGAGGGCGCACGGACACACUGGAACUGAAACACGGUCCAGACUCCUACGGGAGGCAGCAGUGGGGAAUUUUGCGCAAUGGGGGAAACCCUGACGCAGCAACGCCGCGUGGAGGAUGAAAUCCCUUGGGAUGUAAACUCCUUUCGAUCGGGACGAUUAUGACGGUACCGGAAGAAGAAGCCCCGGCUAACUUCGUGCCAGCAGCCGCGGUAAUACGAGGGGGGCAAGCGUUGUUCGGAAUUAUUGGGCGUAAAGGGUGUGUAGGCGGUUUGGU
rnacentral:rRNA from 1 species